rnacentral:rRNA from 1 species
GUUUACAGCCAGACCACCCUGAACAAGCCUGAUUGUCUGAUGUUGGAAGCUAAGCAGGGUCGGGCCUGGUUAGUAAUUAGAUGCGGGACCACCUAGGAAGACCAGGUGCUGUAGGCA